ensembl:lncRNA
CCGCCUCCCCCUCUGGAGACAGUUUUGGAGGAGUCCAGUUUCCCACCUCCCCCUGAUGACUUCACAGAGGCCACACCCCCUUCAAUUGUGGACACUGAAGCCCCGCCCCCUCCACCACCUCCACCAAUCACAGAAGACGCCCUCUCCUUUGACUUGGAAAUUCCUCCACCUCCUCCGCUGAUCCAAGACUAGGACUGAACCAGGACUGAACCAGGACUGAACCAGGACUGAACCAGGACUGAACCAGGACUAAACCAGGACUAAACCAGGACUAAACCAGGACUAAACCAGGACUAAACCAGGACUGAACCAGGACUGAACUAGGUCUAAACCAGAGUAGUAUUUUUGUUACAAUUAAAAAUAUUAAAACAUAUAAAUGUAAAAAUAUGACUUUGUUCUGAUGGAGAAUGAAUCUGCCUGUGUGAGUCUGGCUCUCUCUUGUGG